UCUUGACACUUAAGACCAGAUAUUUUGUCCCCACUCCUGGUCGAGGAUUCUGGUCUCUGCCUUUCUGCCCAUACUUCUGCUUUGGUUCUCAUCCAGGAUUGUAGUUGCUCUAGGACUAAGAUGCAGACUUAUUCUUCUAACACUUGCUUAAUACUUCAGAUUUUCUUCUAAGCCCCAAUGUCCAUAGCUACCUUCUUCCCUUUGACUCUUACACUGCAUAGAUUUCUGGCUAAUGUUUCUUGCCAAAACCCUCUUGAUUCUGAGAUUUGCCUAUCUACCUGGUCUCCACUUGCUGCUGAAUCUCUCCUCAUCAUACAGCCAGUGUUUUGUAGGGUCUCCACGUCCCGCCCUAGCCUUCGCGAACCAUGCAGUUGUUGAAAUAACAUUGACUUCAAAUAUCAGGGUCUACGCAUGGGAUGAUGGUCUGCGGGUAUAAAACUGAAAAUGUUGUUGCAACAAGGCAAACAGGUCAGAUGGGGGGAAAAGUGAUGAAGUGUUGCAUCACUUCAAUAGUAUAUUUUCUUGACCAAAUAUAGUUGUCAUGAAAAUUAGCAGAUUCAGAGAAAAAAUAUAGCUUAGACAACUGCUUGCUAAUAUCAGUUCUAAAAGCAUGGUAAAAGUUUAUUUCCCAUAGGUCAUUCAAUGACAUGUGCUUCUAAGUUAAGUGCCAGUAUCUGUAACCAAUAUCUGUUCUAGGAGCUCUCAUUUAAACAAGUGAAAAUACAUCAAAAGAACUGAAACAAAUCAGCAGUCACCAUUCAGGAUUUAUUUGUAUUAAUCUACUUAACUCAAAACACUUUUUUUCUUGAUCUCUACUGUUUACUGCACCUAUAUCUUAAAAAACCAUAAGCCAUAUACAACAAAUACAAUAGAUAGGAAUGUGUAUAGCUGGCCAAUAUUAAAACAUCAGGAUUGCUUCACAUCUGAUACCUCUUAUUGCAGCAAACCCUGCAUCUUCAGUCACUUGCCAGUCAUUUCUGAUUGAUUAUUUUUAAAGUAUGUAUCUGAUUUUUUAAUCGUUUGUAUAUUUUUAACAAUAGAUUCUUAGAAAUAUAAACUUGUCUGUGUCUAAAAAUAUGGGUUCCUGGGUCUACAGAGUUAGAAUAUCCAAGCAUGGAUGAGAAUUUGCAUUAACAAACUAACCAAGUCAUUCUGUUCUUAUCUUUCACAGAGGUCACUGUAGAACAACUGUUGUUUUCAUUUAGCCCCUCUGCCUAAAAUGUUAGGAAAGCAAAACACUGGUGAACAGUGUUUGAGAAAAAUGUAGACUAAAUUUAAAUACCUGUAAGCAGAGUAUACCAACCUCUCAUCUCAAUUCCCACACCAACUUAGCAACUGCAGAGGUUACUUACAUGCCUGGCUGCAGAGGCACUGGAAUUUGCUACUGUUGACCUCAGUUAUUAGGGGAAAAUUAUCAUUACCUGUUGUAGAAAGAUGCUAAGCAUAUAAGGCAGACAAGAUUCUUUCACUAUGAUGGCAGAAAAUCAAGACUUGGAGGAGACUGUUAUAUAAAGUUUCUCUAACAUUCAUUACAUUUAUCUAAGGACUCUAUCAGAUACUUUCAGUGUGGUCUCUCCUAAGUUCAUUGAAAUUCAAAAUAAUUAAUUGAAGUAAAGCCCUGCAUUUGUGCAUGCGUUCUGAGCAAUUAAGUGGAGUGAAACACAUGUAUUGCUAAUCUUGCAUGCUGUGAUUAAGAUAGAAAUGAAGACGUCCAUCAAACGAGAUUACUUCUUCAUCAACAAGGCUCAGAAAUGUUUCUACAGCUGUUUAGAUCGUUUUAAUUGUAUCAGAGCCUCUCACAUCAUGGUUUAAGUGAGGCACUAUUUCCCCCCAUUAAAAAAGAGAAUAUGAAGAUAUGAGAGUAUACUAAUCCGCAUGUGAAAGAAAUCACAAUGCAUUUAAAGGUUUCUUUACCAAUAAAAUUAGAUUAGCUAAAGAAACAAAAGGCAUUUGUGUGUUUAUGAUCUAUUUUCAUACUUAACUGCACAAACACGGAGCUGAGAGGACCAGCUGGGUCCCACUUUUCAUUAUCAAAUAUUCCUGGAUUAUUCCCUCUGGCCACUCUAACUCCUUUAUUUGAAAAAAGAACAGGGAAUGGUACUACCUUCCCUAUGUAAAAGUAAAUCUAAUUGAUGACUCACACACAAAAAAACCAUGAUACUUGUUACCAUUUCCUCAAUUUCCAUUCCUCCUUCCAAUAGAAACAUAGUUUUUUUAAAGCAACUAAUUAUUCCAAAAAGAAAAGAACUCACUUAUUCUACCAAUUUUUUGGUUAGUUACUCAGAAUUAUUCCUAGUAAUAUAGACUUGGAUUUUGAGUCCCUCAAUGGGACUGAAGAAUAAGACCAAAUGUUGUCUCAGAAUAAUGAAUGAUUUGACUCAAAGUGAUUUCUUAAAAGCCAAAGUUACCAUUUCAGAAAAUUCUUUCUCUUGUGGUUCAGCGAGCUAUGAAGGAGGUGAACUGAACAGAAUGAGAAUAAAUCAAGAUUGGACUUUUCAUAGGUAUAGAGCCCUUUCUUUGGCUAUCUCAAAAUACUACAAGUAGUACCACUGUCAUAUCUCUCAUGUAAUUAAUAUACUGAGUUUCAUCUUAAAAACCAAGUGCAAAACCAUGAACUUGAGUGAUUUGAGACAGAAAUAUAUGUAUUUGUAUUCAUAAAAGCUUGAACCAGCAAAAAUACCUUUCUAUCUAAUUAUAUUACUUUAGCAAUUAGUUGUGAAAAGAAGUAGUUUUAAUUAACAUUUAUUUUUUUCACUGUUGUAUAUUUUAGGAUUUCAAUUCAUUUUGAUAGAUCUUCAAGUUGAACAUAAAAGAAACUCUCAGACUUUAGGAACCUAUAGGUCAGAGUGGUUCAACUGAAAAAGCAAAGAGAAACAUGCAGACCCGUGGUGACAAAUGGCUGAACCCUACACUUUACUGAAAUUGGACAAGCAAAUGUUUAUAUCACUAAAAAAAAAAAAAAGAAAAGGAAAAAUAAAAAAGAAAAAACCUGGACAAAGUAUUAAGUAGUGAUAGUGAAAAUGACAUGCUCUUAUAAACAGAAUUCAAAUAUUAAAAAUAAUAUUUUUAUGCUUUACAACUUCAAUUACAAUCACUAAACCAAAUGGCAGUGUUAAUAACAAAUACACUGAAAAAAUAUAUGUUAAGUUAGGAAAAACAAAAC
rnacentral:lncRNA from 1 species